rnacentral:rRNA from 1 species
UACGGAGGGUGCGAGCGUUGCUCGGAAUUAUUGGGCGUAAAGCGCACGUAGGCGGGUCCUUAAGUCAGGGGUGAAAUCCUGGAGCUCAACUCCAGAACUGCCUUCGAUACUGAAGAGCUUGAGUCCGGGAGAGGUGAGUGGAACUGCGAGUGUAGAGGUGAAAUUCGUAGAUAUUGGGAAGAACACCGGUGGCGAAGGCGGCUAUCUGGGCCAACACUGACGCUGAGGCGCGGAAAGCUAGGG